rnacentral:rRNA from 1 species
AUGCUUUUCAACUUGCCAAGAGUCACAACACCAAUUGCUGUACGGUGGUUCAUCUCAGUUGCAAAUGCAGCAGGCUUUGGUCGAGAUGUUUCUCCUGUUCAUUUCGCCGCCCUGUUAAAGGAAUGCAGGUCGGUGAAUGCAGUCCAUCAAGUUCACCAGCAGCUCAUUUCUUCGGGUCUUCUUUCUUAUCCAGCGUCGUUGUUGGAAGUAUCAUUUCCACCUUUGCCAUCUCAGCCGUAUUUAUCACCAAGAUCUUUGGGUACUGGUGUCGUAGCUGCUUAUCUUGCGUGUGGUUCCAAAGAUGAGGCUCUCACAGCAUUGGAGCAUGUUGUGCCGUCUCCAGCUGUCUGGUGGAAUCUACUCAUCCGAGAACACAUCAAAGAGGGCCACCUUGAACAUGCCAUUGCAGUAUCUUGCCGGAUGCUGCGUGCUGGAACCAGACCGGACCAUUUUACUCUGCCGCAUAUACUAAAGGCCUGUGGAGAGCUACCCUCGUACCGUUGUGGUAUCACACUCCAUGGACUUAUAUGCUGCAAUGGUUUUGAGUCAAACGUCUUUGUAUGCAAUGCAUUGGUGGCGAUGUAUGCCCGCUGUGGUUCACUGAAGGAAGCCAGCCAGGUUUUCCAGGAAAUAGCUCAGAGGGGAAUUGAUGAUGUCAUAUCAUGGAAUUCAAUUGUUGCAGCCCAUGUUAAACAUAAUAGUCCAUGGACUGCGUUGGAUAUGUUCUCGAAAAUGUCAAUGAUUGUCCAUGAGAAGGCUACAAAUGAUAGGUCUAACAUCAUUAGCAUUGUCAACAUUCUUCCUGCAUGUGCUUCUCUGAAGGCACUACCCCGAACUAGAGAAAUUCAUGGAAAUGCCAUUCGGCAUGGUACAUUUCCAGAUGUUUUUGUAGGCAAUGCUCUGGUUGGUACUUAUGCAAAAUGUGGUUCAAUGAAGGAUGCGGUAAAGGUUUUCAAUAUGAUGGAAAUAAAAGAUGUUGUUUCUUGGAAUGCAAUCGUGACUGGCUACUCCCAAAGUGGCAACUUUGAGGCAGCCUUUGAGAUUUUUAAGAAUAUGCGCAAGGAAAACAUCUCAGCAGAUGUAGUGACCUGGACUGCUGUAAUUGCUGGGUAUGCUCAGAGAGGAUGUGGCCAAGAGGCACUCAAUGUUUUCCGACAAAUGCUCUUUUCUGGUUCAGAGCCAAAUUCUAUCACAAUCAUCUCUGUGCUGUCUGCUUGUGCUUCCUUGGGAGCAUAUUCUCAGGGUAUGGAAACUCAUGCCUACUCUCUGAAGAAUCGUCUUCUAUCUUUGGAUAACCAUUUUGGUGGUACUGGCGAUGAGGAGGAUCUCAUGGUGCACAAUGCUUUAAUAGAUAUGUACUCAAAGUGCAGAAUCUUCAAAGCUGCACGUUCUAUAUUUGACUCUAUACCCCGAAAGGAACGUAAUGUGGUGACUUGGACUGUGAUGAUAGGUGGGUAUGCACAAUAUGGGGACUCUAAUGAUGCCCUCGAGCUUUUCUCACAGAUGCUCUCGAAACCACACGCAGUUGCCCCGAAUGCAUUUACGGUUUCCUGCAUUCUGAUGGCCUGUGCACAUCUGUCAGCCCUGCGUGUUGGUAAGCAAAUCCAUGCUUAUGUGGUUCGUCAACAUCAAUAUGAAGCAUCUACAUACUUUGUGGCAAACUGUCUUAUUGACAUGUACUCAAAGUGUGGUGAUGUCGAUACAGCUAGGUAUGUAUUUGAUGGCAUGUCACAAAGGAAUGACAUUUCAUGGACAUCAAUGAUGGCAGGAUAUGGGAUGCAUGGUCGUGGCAAUGAGGCCCUGGAAAUAUUUGACAAGAUGCAAAUGGCAGGCUUUGUUCCUGAUGAUAUAUCAUUCCUGGUUGUUCUAUAUGCUUGCAGCCAUUCUAGAAUGAUUGAUCGAGGCCUGGAUUACUUUGACAGCAUGAGCAGAGAUUACGGUGUGGCUGCCGGUGCAGAGCAUUAUGCUUGUGUCAUUGACUUGCUGGCCCGCUCCGGGCAGAUAGAUAGGGCAUGGAAUAUGGUCAAAGACAUGCCAAUGGAGCCUACUGCAGUAGUCUGGGUUGCAUUGCUUAGUGCGUGUAGAGUACAUUCAAAUGUAGAACUUGCUGAAUAUGCUCUUAACAAGCUAGUUGAGAUGAAUGCAGAGAAUGAUGGAUCUUACACGCUCAUCUCCAACAUAUAUGCUAAUGCAAGGCGUUGGAAGGAUGUAGCCAGAAUCAGAAACCUGAUGAAGAACUCCGGGAUUAAGAAGAGGCCCGGUUGUAGUUGGGUCCAGGGUAAGAAAGGAACUGCGUCUUUCUUCGUUGGAGAUCGAUCGCAUUCUCUAUCCCCUCAGAUUUAUGCCCUUCUGGAGAGACUGAUUGAUCGCAUCAAAUCUAUGGGUUAUGUCCCUGAGACAAAUUUUGCACUCCACGAUGUCGAUGAUGAGGAGAAAAAUAACCUGCUUGCUGAGCACAGCGAGAAGCUUGCUCUCGCAUAUGGCCUCCUCACAACUUCCCCUGGUUGUCCAAUAAGGAUCACAAAGAACCUGCGCGUUUGCGGUGAUUGCCACAGUGCUUUCACCUACAUCUCAAAGAUUGUUGACCAUGAGAUCAUUGUGCGGGACUCCAGUCGCUUCCAUCAUUUUAAGAAUGGUGUGUGCUCUUGUGGUGACUAUUGGUGA